GAUGCAGUGUGGGGACUGGAUCAUUUCAUUAGAAUUAGACAAGGUUUACUAGCAUAAUUGUGAAAAUAUAUGGAUUUGACACUACAGGCAUUCUCCUUUAUAAGAAAGGAAAGUGAGACAAUCCUACCUAAUUUACCAUCCUAUAAGCCCAGGGCCAGACUGGGAGGGCACUGAGAGGCCGGUGGAAUGUAUGUGGGCAGAAUGGGUGAGUUUCACCAUACUUUUUUGGUUUCAUUUAAUAAUAAUUUUUUUUCUGUUAACAUUUGAUAUCUGACCUCUGUUUUCUGUUACUUAUAGGUUACUAUAAAUACUUCAAGUGAAGUAUCACUUGUAACUAUUAAGAAAGCACAAUUCUAUACUAAUACAAUAUUUUGGAUAAAUGUGUUCCUAUGUAGCCCAGUUCCUGCAGGAUAGUUAGAAACGGAAGUGGAUGGCAUCUUAAUUCACUCUAUGAGUCACUCCACAAUCUCCCCUUCAGUCCCACAAUAGCACUGUUUUAAGUUCUCUCUCCCCAUCAAUUUCCAUGAGAUGCCUGCCCUCCUACCAGUGUUCCCUCUAAUUCUUACCAUCAGUGAGCAGAAAGAGUUUUGUUCUGGGCAGCACUCUGCACAUCACUCUCUCUCACACACACAUGUAUAUAAUGCACCACGCACAGUGUGGCGCACAAAAACAUUUUAUCUCACCCCUAGCCCCCCUCCUCUGGCUCUGACUUUACAAGAAGUAACAUCUCCAGGAUAGCUGAGAAGAGAUAAGUAUCAGUCUCUCAAGCUAUAUUAUUUUAAGGCAUAUAGAAGAACAGGCUCAUUUCACAUGGGGUUAUGAAAUCUCAUGGCUCCUCUCUGUCCCUUAUGGAUACAUUUAUACAAAUGUUACAUGGAAGAUGCUGAAAGGCAUCAUCUCAUACUGCAUGGGAGAUGGCAAUGGUAAACUCAGGGCUCUGUGGUCACCAGGAGUCAAAAUCGACUUGAUGGCACACUUUACCUUUAUAUAUGUCCAGAACUGUCUGGGGGGGGGGAAUUCGUAUGUAUAUUCUUUAAACUAAGGUGUAACAUAUAAGUAAGGUUUGCAUUUCACAGCAAUUCACUGGCCACAUGAACAACCACCUUUACAAAAAAUUUCUUACUCCCCUCCAUCUCAUCAUUGAAACUUACACAAGAUCACACACAGGCUUUUACUUUGUGCCAAUUAGUAUCAAAUAAGGAUCUGUCUUCACAAUUAGUAAUGAAAAUUAUAUUUUCCACUUCACUCUAAGCAUGCAUUGAAAAAGUGAGGAGAAAACACACACAAUUCUUUCAUUUCUCAGCCACUAUGGCUGCAAGUACAAGCUAGUGGGGAGUGGGGGAGGAGGAGGUAAAAAGUACACAUUAAGUCAUCUUGAAUAUAUGAUCCAAGCUGAAAUUGGGAUCCAGGAGAGAGAGCACGUGCCAGAUUUCUAAAAGGCUGUCCUUUAUUGGGGGGUGGGGGCGACAUAGAUCUGCAGAAUACCCAGGGGGGAAAGCUCAGAUAGAGGGAUGGUGACUAGCGACCAGCUCAUUGACAGCCUCUUUAAUGGAAAGGCAUUUCAAAAGUAAUCUCUUGGCCACAACAUGCUUUUUUCAUCUCCCUUAUGUUGCUGGGAAGGGCAGGCUUCAUUUAAGAUGAGUUUCCCAGGUGGAGGUGCUAUAGAUUUUUGACAAUUUAUGUUCAAACUAUUUUGGGGAGAAAGAAGAUGGGAAAACCCCACAAACCAUUAAAGCCACCCGGAAGCACUGACAUGCCCCAACCUGAGUCAGGGGAAGUGGUGGUGGGGGGGAAGAGACAACAAGCUACUGACACCCUUCCCCACCCCACCCCUUAAUACAGGAAAGGCAACCAGGCUAGAUGGGAGGUUCCCCUCCACCGCUUCUCUGUUGUUCUCCCAGAGAUGUGUGCAUGAAAAAUGGGAAGGGGAAGCACACGCCGGAGUGGCUGAGGCAGGAAGAAGAAAGGGUGGGGCAGUGCCGUGAAUGUGGGGCCACAGGAUACUUACCCUCUCACUCUCUUUUAUUUGGAAAUAUGUAUCCAGCACAUACACCCAUCAGUGUUCAGCCCCUCCUCCUCCUCUGUGUCUGAUGUUUGGAUUUGGGAGUUAGAAAGCUACCUAUCAAGCGCCCCCGCCCCCCCCCCCCCCUGUGGGCAAGAGCUUGUGAGAAUUCAGAGUGGGGGAGGAGGAGGGAAUGGUUGGAAGUGGAGUUGGGGAGCUAAGAAAACACAGACCUUCCCCGCACAAAGCUCACAAUAGAUACACAGAGAGGCACGUACAUGUGUGUAUCUGUCCAAGGUGAGGCUUUUCCUCCGGCUCCAGCACUCUCUUUCAGAUCUGGGUGGUGGUGGUGAUGGGGAAAGGGAAGUGUGUUUUCAAUGCAACCUACUGACAGGUGUAGCAUCAUUCUCUCAUACUUAUCAACAGCCCCUUCCCUACACCAGAAUUAUUGCCACAUUUACUCAAACUGGCUUCUCAUAACCAAUCAGAAGGAGAGGAAGUGGGGCUCUCUGGAGAGAGGGAAAAGGGGAUCUGCACAGCUGGCGUGGGGUGAGCCCAGUGAGUGCAGCAGGGUGCACCAGGCAAAGGCGCACUGGGAAAAUGCCCUGCUGCCCGGUGGGCCAGUCUGAGCCUGUAUAAGCCUUCUAAGUGUGGUGACUAAGACCUAUGCUAGGCAUUUGUAUGAAAAGUUAGUAGACUUGAUUGAUUCAAAAGAUAUUUUGGCAGAUGAACAGACCAGGCUUAGGGUCAGCCAUUCUAUUAUAGAUCAAGUCCUAGUACUGGCAGCAUUUGGUUGAAAAAUAUUCCACAAAACCAGAUUGAUUGUAUGCUGCUUUUGUAGGCUUUAAGACUGCUUUUGACUCAAUUUCCGGUAGGGAAUUAUGAUGCAAGAUGCUGGACUCCACAAUUGACCAUCAUCUUUUUCUAUUAAUCUACAAGGUAUAUGAAGAUUCCACAUUAAAGUAUUGAGAUACCAUCCAUCAAAGCAGGCUGAAAGGCAUUUACUGAUUCUGCUUUAUGCAGAUGAUGCCAUUCUGCUUCCCAAGACAUUGAUUUAAGGUGAGUCUUGCAGGCCUUUUCUUUGUAUUGUGAUCAGCAGGCAUUAGAAAUAAAUUAUGAUAAAACUAAAAUAAUGACAUUUGGGGAAAGAUCUAAAAUAAGAAAAUAGCUUUUGAAUAACCAUAAAUUGGAGCAGAUUACCUGUUUCAAAUAUCUUGGUGUAGUCGUGCAAGCAUUGGACAGUAGAGGUAAAGUUAAAGUGCGCCAUCAAGUCGGUUUCGACUCCUGGCACCCACAGAACCCUAUGGUUUUCUUUUGGUAGAAUACAGGAGGAGGUUACCAUUGCCUCCUCCCACGCGGUAUGAGAUGAUGCUAUAUUGCUGCUGCCCAAUAUAGGUGUUUCCCAUGGUCUGAGAAACAUACCAGCAGGGAUUCGAACUGGCAGCCUUCUGCUUGUUAGUCAUUUCUCUGCCACACCACUUAAGGUGCACUGGGCAGUAAAACAGCACUUUAAAUUAUGUUCUUCAAAAUGGUUCCUGGGACCAUGGUGGGGGCACGGGCUGGAAAAAAGCCCACCCGUUGCCCCCCAGCCUCCCUGACUGCUGGCUCCUGACUGGACAGUGUGUGAUAUUAUUUCCACAGGAGCAAGAUAAAGGGCAUGCCAAUAAUGUUUUCUUUUUCACCAUGUCCAUAUAGUUCUUCUGCAGCAGACAUGAGCAGACGGGGAGAAGAAGGUAGCAGGCAGAAAUAAUUGAAAUAGCAGAGUUGGAACCAAGCAAAAACAGGUUCCAUAUGAUCCACAGAGACUGGUCCUGCACUCCAAGAUGCUUCAGCUGCACUUCAGAUUCACAGGGUCUCCAAUCCAGCCUCUCCAGAACUCUGUUUUUCUCUGACACAAGCUGCCUAAAGGGCUGUUUCUUUUCAUACAUGCACUGCUGGCUGUGGGGAGGCUGAGGAAGAAUCACCUUACAUCUGCCCUGCCGAUUGGUGGAAGAUGCCAUCGUACAAAACACAUGGCUUCGCCCAUAAAGAUAUUUCAGGCUUAUUAGCACCCCAGUCAGAAACAUCUUCUGGCCUUCUAGACUAUUAGCCAGUCAUCUGCCUAAGAAAAGAGUGUGCAUAACUCAUUACAAUACAAUACAUAAUCCAUUACCAUACAAACAGAACUAAGUUCUGAACUAAGAUUCAAAGGACUGUCAGCCUUUCCCAAAUCUGCUAUGCUCAAGGGGUUAGAAUAGAGGUAGCUGCUGGUCCCCUGAUAGAUAAAUUUUAUUUCAGUCAUUGGCCAGUAAAAGAGUACAGUUACAUAGACUCAGAAUGAAUUUUACAGACAAUAUAACAAAACUUAGCCAUUCUACAAAUAAUCUCCUUAUUGGUGUUUGCUAAUAAAAAAUGUAAAUAAAAGUCAUCAGGACAUCCAGAGAGGUUUUCCAACAGAGGGGAAAUUAAACUUAAAUGAAUAUCCUUAUAGAAAACACGAUAUAGGAUAACAUAUGAAGUGGUUUCUAUGGCCCCAGUGCCACAUGGACACAGUUGGGAGGAAAAAGAUAUUCCUCCAAACCUGCCGUCAAGAACUGCUGUAGUAGUACAUUAAGACACGCUAAAGUAAGGGCACACCUAAAUUUAGACAGAGAUACCUCACUUAAAUAUUCCGCUGGUUUAAAGUUGAUAGUUUGGUUCCCUAGAUAUAUACCACUCUUGAGGCCAGCCAAUUCAUCCUGUAGUUCUAUAUCCAAAAUGCAUUGUUUAACCACUUUUGUGUCCUGAUCUAGUCCUAGGUCAAUUAAUUCAAUGGGGGGAAAGUCCCUAAUGAGUUAAUUUAUGUAUGACUAAAGACUUCCAUUUAAAUUUGUGAUAUAUAAGUAAACCACCACUUUAAAAAGUGCCUAUUUGUGCACUUAGCAUGCAAAGCUCAUCAUUGUGCCAUCUCAGUAACAAGUACCUGCACCGCUGUGGUAAAAGUGUAGCCACUGACAGAUAUAGGCGUACAGAGAUAAUGCACUUAUAUGUGGGCUAUACCACUUCACAGUCCAGUGAGAGCGCACACAAUUAAAUGCCUCUCCAUAUAACACACACACCUCCACAUAGCCAUUUUCAAAGAGCUUUCCUCUACCCAUUUUUUCCUGUAAGGAGUGAUUUUCUUCAGUCCCACCAGGAGGAAAACAGUGGAGGUGAAGCAGUUUUAGGGUGAUGGGAAGCAUGGGUGGGAGACGAACCAGCCUUCCCCUUCUGUCCAGCCAUGCUGCUCUUCAUACGGCCUUCUCUGCUUCCUACUUACUUUAUAUGGACAGAACAGUAGCCUCUACGUGGGUCUGUUGCCAUAACGUCUGCUUUGGUCCUAAGAUUCCACUGAGUGCAAACCGUUCUAUUGCUCUGUAGGAUCAAUCUGAUUCUUAGAGUGGUGUCAUCUAGAAAGAAUAUUGUCACUUCAUCUUUGGGCUGAUUUGAUAGUGUUGGUUCACAUAAAAGUGGUUCUUUCCUCUCUUUUUUAAAAGAAUGUACUCAAUCCUAUUUUCAUCUGUAGAUCAAUAUUGCUGGGUUACCAGAAAGCUUAACAUCUAAAUCUGUUAAGUUCAUGGUACAGCUAGAUAAGCUGCAGUGUCAACCUUUUCUAAUACAGUGAAAAGUUUUUUAGUUUUCUAGUACAGAGCAGAUUUUCCGGUGGAAUGGCUGCAGUUAAAAUAAAAUUGCAUACCUGAAAUAUGUCAGAAUAUCCCACAUAUUUCAGGUAUACAUAAAAUUGAAUACCUGAAAUAUAUCAGAAGUAUAUGGUCUCAGUGGUAGUAGUGAUGAUGUGAAUGUUGAUGACAGAGGUCCUUGCAAAGUUUUUGAUGAAAUUAUAUGUGUGAAGUAGCAUGGUGAAUAUGACCUCAUACAGUGUCGUCAUCAAACUAAUCUGAGAAAAAGUAUAGGUAAUGCUAUGUCUCUUGUUUAAGGAUCUGUCCAGUGCAAACAAUGCAAUCUGGAUCCAGCUGCCCUUAGCUGCAACUCAUUUCAAUAUGCUGAGACAACUCCACACUCCAUUUUGCUUUCACAUUUAGCAGAAGCCCUAUUCAUGAUUUAUCAAAAUGAAUAUAUUACAGCCAUUCACAUGACCAACCACAGCAAGGUAGGAGUGGGAAAAUCUGGGUAGAGAGGCUCAUUUGGAGCCAUGGCACCUGAUCCUCCGCCACUGCUCCCGAGCAGGGCUACCCUGUUCUUCUACCUUACAUUUAACCAAGGUAAGAGGCCCAAACUCCCAUCUUAACAGCCCCAAUCAUGUGUGCAAUCAAGGCUAUUUGCAGCAGCUCCUGGCAGCCCAGCUGGUUCUGCAUCAUAGAGUGCCACCUAGAGUGGCCAGGAAGUUAGGAGCUGCUGCAUUGAUGUGGACAGCCUCUCUACUGCCUGUUCAAUGCAUUGUGGAAUCUUGGAGGACUUCUUCUCCCAGUUCCCUCUUGCAGGCAGCUCCGCUGUGCCAAUUAUGUGGGCACAUAAUUGGCAGAGAUGGGGUGAGCCCUUACUCAUGUGGGGGCAGGUAGGUAUACUCCUGCCUUCCCCCCAGCCACCAGGGGUUUUGGUCAUGUGAACUACCUUAUUGGCUAACCUCCUAACAAAGUCCUGGCACUUAAUGAAACCUCCAUGAGAUGCACUGGUGCUGCUGAUGGGUUCAAUUAAAAUAGCACCAACAAUCAUGUGGGGAUGGGGAGGAAUUUUGACAACCUCUCCUUUCCCCAGAACUCCUCUGUGCCACCCAAAAAUAUGUCUCUGAGAGUUGUGCAUCCCUCCGAGACACAAUUUGGGGUGGCACAGAGGGCUUCUGGGAGAAAGGAAGGUCAUUGAAGUUUGCCCCUCCUGCAAACACUGGUGCUCCAUUAGGCUGGAACUCAGCAGCAGCACUGGUACAUCUUACAUAGCACGGAUGCUUUGUUAGUCAGGAUGUCAGCCAGUGUACCCAGAUAUAGGAGAAAUGUAAGCAUGCCAGCUAGCAAUGGCCCCAGUGUUGAUGUGCUCUGUGGCUUGGAGAGAGAAAGUAUUCCGAGGCUCAGUGUUUGACUCUCCCCAAGGUGGCACAGCCAUUGAGGGCAGCACCAAGUGGAACAAGACCUCUCUUGAGCAUUUAAAUGGGCAAUUUGAAACCUGUGGAAAAACCUGCCAUCCUUAAGGUUUUGUGGGCCUGAGCUAUUUAGGGAUGUAAAGGUCAAAACCAAGACAUUUAAUUGCACCCAGAAACAGUCAGCGCAGAGGGAUGAUAUGGUUUAUGCAAGAGGCCUCUGAAAGCAAUCUGGCUGCAAUCUACAUGAGGCUGCAAGGAUAGCCCUAUGUAGCUUGUAUUGCAUGGCCACACCAGGAUAGAACGGUCACAGUUGGCCUAAGCUGUUAUUUGAGCAUUUAGCAGCAAAACCAGAUUCAGAUGUACUUCUAGACUAAUGUGGUGCUUGUGCAAACAUGUCACACUAACACAUGGUUGUCACACUAGCUAGUUCCACUAAGUUGGGAGCUUGCACUCCAGUGCUAGCCACCUAAUGAUGCAGUGGGGAAAUGACUUGAUUAUCAAGCCAGAGGUUGCCGGUUCAAAUCCCCGCUGGUAUGUUUCCCAGACUAUGGAAACUCCUAUAUCGGGCAGCAGCGAUAUAGGAAGCGUCAUCUCAUACUGCAUGGGAGGAGGCAAUGGUAAACCCCUCCUGUAUUCUACCAAGGACAGCCACAGGGCUCCUUGGUCACCAGGAGUAAAAACCGACUUGAUGGCACAUUUGACCUCCAGGACUAGUGUUGUGCCGUCACAACAAUAGAGUGCACAACCUCCUGCUCCGAAACCUCUUUCUCAGUCCAUGUAUAUUGCAGGGAAUUGUGUAAGGAAGCACUUUACAUCCCCAUUGAAUGCAGGCUUAGCUUUUAAAUUUUCCAGCUAGUCUCAUGAAUUCAUAUGAUAAAUUCAUAUGAAUAUGGAGCAGUUUGGUGGUUCGGCGGCGGUGGUGGUUCUUUA